ACAGAUGAAGAACUCGAGGUUAUUCGAUCGAUCGCGUGAUCGGUCACGAUCUACGAGCCUAGGCUCAGAACAGCUUCAGGAGGCACACAUUUCAUCACAUACGGAUAUAGAUAAUUUGGCAGGCAUCGAUUAUUCUUCACCCGGAGCCACUGAUUCACAUGCAGAGCCCUCCCACACUACAGAGGGUUCUUGGACACCAUCGUCUUCACAUCAUACGCA